rnacentral:RNase_MRP_RNA from 2 species
CAAGCAAGCCAAGGACCAUAUGUUUUUUUGUGUUACACUUUCAGCAUCUAAGCUUAUUAUAUUCAACACAAGGAGAAAGUCCCCGGAAAACAAAAUAUCUUCUGUCCAAUGAUUAAAGAUUAGGGCAGUGGGGUAUUUAGUAAAGCAACUUUGUUUGUUUGUUUUUUUCAUAAUAAAAAGUAAUAUGGUCACCCUAUAAUAAUGGGGCAACUUAAUGGGGCUUACUCUGGCUUGUUU